rnacentral:rRNA from 1 species
AUUGAACGCUGGCGGCAUGCCUAACACAUGCAAGUCGAACGGCAGCAUGUAUGGGGUAACCCAUAUGAUGGCGAGUGGCGGACGGGUGAGUAACACGUAGGAAUAUGCCUUAAUGAGGGGGAUAGCUUGGGGAAACUCAAGGUAAUACCACAUGCACUCUGAGGAGUAAAUGCUGGGGACCGCAAGGCCUGGCGCAUUAAGAUUAGCCUGCGUCCGAUUAGCUAGUUGGUGGGGUAAAGGCCUACCAAGGCGAUGAUCGGUAGCUGUUCUGAGAGGAAGAUCAGCCACACUGGGACUGAGACACGGCCCAGACUCCUACGGGAGGCAGCAGUGGGGAAUAUUGGACAAUGGGGCAACCCUGAUCCAGCAAUGCCGCGUGUGUGAAGAAGGCCUGAGGGUUGUAAAGCACUUUAGUUGGGGAGGAGGGAUGACAUGUUAAGAGCUAGUUAUCCGGACGUUACCCAAAGAAUAAGCACCGGCUAACUCCGUGCCAGCCGCCGCAGUAA